UACGUAGGGCGCAAGCGUUGUCCGGAAUUAUUGGGCGUAAAGAGCUCGUAGGCGGCCUGUCGCGUCCGCUGUGAAAUCCCAGGGCUUAACCCUGGGCGUGCAGUGGAUACGGGCUGGCUGGAGGCAGGCAGGGGAGAACGGAAUUCCCGGUGUAGCGGUGAAAUGCGCAGAUAUCGGGAAGAACACCGGUGGCGAAGGCGGCUCACUGGCUCGUAACUGACGCUCAGGCGCGACAGCGUGGGGAUCAAACAGG
rnacentral:rRNA from 1 species